rnacentral:rRNA from 1 species
UACGUAGGUGGCAAGCGUUGUCCGGAUUUACUGGGCGUAAAGAGCGCGCAGGCGGUCGUUCAAGUCGCGUGUGAAAGCCCCCGGCUCAACUGGGGAGGGUCACGCGAUACUGAUCGACUCGAAGGCAGGAGAGGGUAGUGGAAUUCCCGGUGUAGUGGUGAAAUGCGUAGAUAUCGGGAGGAACACCAGUGGCGAAGGCGGCGUUCUGGACUGCAACUGACACUGAGAGACGAAAGCCAGGGGAGCAAACGGG